UUUUUUAAUCCCAGAAUACUUGUUAAGGCUCUGUGAACCCUUAUUUUGAAUCCUCACGCAUCUCUCUUGCUCACCCCCAAUUGCUUCUAUACAUUGAGAGCGAUUUCAAUUCAGAGUGAUUUUCUUUGAGAUUCUUCUUUGAGAUUCUUACAGAUUCAUCAGAGCAAUUUCGAUUUGAAGCUCUGAAUCUCCUAUGUCUCUCUCUCUCUCUCUCUCUCUCUCUCUCGAUUCAUCCUUUGUUCUCUGUGAUAUCGAUCUUAAGCUCUGAAGCUCUGGGAGAUUGCGAAGAGAGAAGAGGGGUUGGUUUCGAUCGCAGACGAAGUGAUCUUAAGAGAGGCUGUGCUUAAUUUCUUAGAUUGGUCUCAGAGCGAUUUCGAUUUUGAGAUUCAUCUCAGAGCAAUUUCGAUUUUGAAGUUCUCUCUCUCAAUUUCGAAGCUUCACUGCGAGUGGAUUCAGUUUCCUCUUGGGAUGAAUUUAUCUAAAUCUGAGUCAGGUUGCUAGAGCCACCCAAAAUUUUUCACCAUCAAUGAAGAUUGGUGAAGAAGGCUUUGGAACUAUCUACAAGGCCCUGUUACCAGGUGGUCAGGUAAUUGCCAUAAAACGAGCUAAGAAGGUAAGCUGUAGUUUCUUCUCAUGUCUUAGAAUUUACUGUUUCUACCAUAUUAAUUUUCCUCACAAGAUAACAUUAAUUUCUUGCUAUAUCUCUAGAAGAAGCUGUCACAUUGUGGUUUCAUUUCACUAGGAACCGUCUCAGACCAGACAAAUCAAAAGUUUGAUUGAUCUUCAAAUUGGUGUUCGUGAUAGAUACCAAGUAGGAUGCGGCUAGAAUAAGUAAAACAAAGGGCUGAUAUAAUAUACAGGGAUCAUGUGAGGAUUUUAGUUGAUCUUUGCAAAUCAAUAGCUUAGGACAAUCACCCUGUUAAAACAGUGCCACAUACAUUCAUCUCAUGGCAAAUAUGCUAGUUUUAAAGCCAGUAUUUCUAGAGAAAAAUCUCUAGUUUCUACAAUUAGCACCACUGGUGGUGCAACUAAUGCACUCUCUAGCAGCAUUACUGAUGCAGCUGUACCUGGAGUUGGUGGUGUUCUUAGUAGAUACCUUGGAAUAACGCCUGCUUAUUUAUGGCAAACUCAGCUCCAACAAGCACCAUUAUCCAUGGGCAUGGCUGAGUACCAGAGGCCACUUUUCUGUGAAAUUGAUGGUUGUUUAAAAGCUAAAUGUGAUAAGUUAGCAGAUGCCUUUGAAAUAGAUGAUAUUGACACUUCAUCUGGUAAUCAAAGUUCAAGUGCUCGGCUUCCAGAAAUGUUUGUGUUAUUUUUUCAUUUUGUCAUUAUUAAUGGUGCAAGGUCUGUUCUGAAUGUCAAGGCUAUGAUGAUAUACUUUUUUUUGAUUGUUUGAAAUUUCAAUAUAAAGCGGUAUGGUCUAUAUACUUGUCAUGAUGGUACCAUGCUGUGUAUGCUUGUUGCCAUUUAGCUGAACAUGAUUUGAAGCUUUUGUA